CCUACGGGAGACAGCAGUGAGGAAUAUUGGUCAAUGGACGCAAGUCUGAACCAGCCAUGCCGCGUGCAUGAAGACGGCUCUAUGAGUUGUAAACUGCUUUUGUACGAGGGUACACGCAGAUACGCGUAUCAGUCUGCAAUUAUCGUACGAAUAAGGAUCGGCGAACUCCGGUCCAUCAGCCGCGGUAAUACGGAGGAUUCAAGCGUUAUCCGGAUUUAUUGGGUUUAAAGGUUGCGUAGGCGGUUGGAUAAGUUAGAGGUGAAAUCCCGAGGCUCAACUUCGGAAUUGCAUGUGAUACUGGGAGGCUAGAGAGUAGUUGAGGUAGGCGGAAUGUAUGGUGUAGCGGUGAAAUGCUUAGAGAUCAGACAGAACACCGAUUGCGAAGGCAGCUUACCAAGCU
rnacentral:rRNA from 1 species